GAUGAACGCUGGCGGCGUGCCUAAUACAUGCAAGUCGAGCGAAGCGGGGAAGGGUGAGUAACACGUGGAUAACAUCCUAUAAGACUGGGAUAAAUUCGGGAAACCGGAACUAAACCGGAUACUUAUCGCAGGAUCCGCUCGUCAUUAGCUAGUUGGUAGGGUAACGGCUUACCAAGGCAACGAUGCAUAGCCGACCUGAGAGGGUGAUCGGCCACACUGGAACUGAGACACGGUCCAGACUCCUACGGGAGGCAGCAGUAGGGAAUCUGCCGCAAUGGGCGAAAGCCUGACGCAGCAACGCCGCGUGAGUGAUGAAGGUCUUCGGAUCGUAAAACUCUGUUAUUAGGGAAGCGGUACCUAAUCAGAAAGCCACGGCUAACUACGUGCCAGCAGCCGCGGUAAUAC
rnacentral:rRNA from 1 species